rnacentral:rRNA from 1 species
UACAGAGGUCUCAAGCGUUGUUCGGAAUCAUUGGGCGUAAAGGGCGUGUAGGCGGUUUGUUAAGUCAUGUGUGAAAGCCCCCGGCUCAACCGGGGAACGACGCAUGAAACUGGCAAGCUAGAGUACCGAAGAGGGGGGUGGAAUUCCCGGUGUAGAGGUGAAAUUCGUAGAUAUCGGGAGGAACACCGGUGGCGAAGGCGGCGACCUGGGACAAUACUGACGCUGAGGUGCGAAAGCGUGGGGAGCAAACAGG